rnacentral:lncRNA from 1 species
AAACUUUCUCGGCAUCUGUAAGGAAUCCCUAUUGCUAGUCAUCCUAUAUACAAAACUAUUCCUAGUUAAUCAGUUAUAGUCAGUCAGCAGACAAACGGACAGAGCGAGGAUAAAAACUAAUACUAGUGUAAGUAGUAGUAUUAAGGUGAGAUCUCGUCAUGGGGCACUAACAAUAGCUGCAUCCACCGUCAUACAUAUAUACAGGGAAGGCACUUGCUGAUUUAUCACAAAUGCAUCGAUGCAACUGAAUUGAAGCCUGCACUCUACUCACUAUCAAUAUAGCUUGCUUAGCUUGGUGUUUAGUUUGACUCCGGAACCAGAAAUGGACGAGUGCCCAUGUUUAUGUCACUAUAUAUGCCUCUCUCUUUUUAGUCCUUUUGACUUUCGUCUUUCUGCUGCCUCCCAGCCUUUAUAGACAGUGUCAAUGGAGUAGUGCGCCUGGGCUGGGGAAAGCACGACCGACUAGCUAGUGCUCAAACAAAUUACAAAUGUCAACACUUACCUAUAUUGAUAGCCACCGGCACAGCAGGAAUGCGCGUUUUCACAUCACAUCCUAGCUGAUCGACCAGAGAAAUGCAAUUAUAACAAACUGUGAAUGGAUGCAACGCAAAUACACAAUCUAGAUUCUAGAGAGAGAGAGAGGGUCAGAUGCAUGCCACUAACUACUAGUACUACUAUAUAGUACUUAGUAAGCUUUAGCCUUGCAUGUGACUUACUUGAUGUAAUGUGUUCCUAGAUCUAAAUCUCAUCAGUUUGCAAUGCAAACAUUGGCUUUGCGUGGCCAGCACCCAAAGUAGUAGACCAAGCAGGGGAUUCAUGUAUCGAUGGGCCAGAGCAAUUCCCCCUCACAAUUCACAAACAUCGCGCUAGCCCUCAUACAAGUGCAAGUCAUGACGGGACGGCCAGUAUUUCUUUUUUCAGCUGUGUUAAGUAAUUAGCAUCGUCUACAUAUAUAGUAUAUCUCAGAGAACAUGACAGGGAGAGAAGAAAACCCUCCUGCCUCUGUUUUCUUGGGAGCCACAGCCAUAGCCAGUUGACUUAUAUCUAUCGGCUUGACUGGACAUGCAUCAUUCAUACUCCCUCCUCCGGCCAACAAACCCUGAUUUCCGUGCUUAACGUUUAACCGUCCGUCUUAUUUAAAAAAAUAU